UAGGCUGUGAUGAUUGGCGCAGGGGUACGGACCUCAGCUGAAUCAUGGGAGCUGAAUGUACGUGUUUCACCUUUGUCUUGCAUGUGUAUAAUGCUUG